GUUUUUGGUGUUUUACAUUUUUCUAUACUGUUAACUGAAGAAUUUAAUAAUUUCGUUAAUAUGUGUAUGGUUAAAACCAUGGUGCAUUUACAUUAUAAAUAUACAUUGGUGUUUAUAUGUUUUAAAGAAAUAUGUAGUGAUUAAAGGAGGGACGAAAUAUACCAGAGGGACAGCCAAACUCAUAGAUUGAAAAUAAACUGACAAUGCCAUGGCUAAAAAUAAAAAGACUAACAGUCAAAUAAUAGUACAGAAGACACAACAUAGAAAAAAAAACUAAAGACUAAGCAACACGAACCCCAC
rnacentral:lncRNA from 1 species